CCCAAUGGCCCCCUCAAGAAUUGAACUCACAACCCUGGGUUUAGCAGGCCAAUGCUCAAACCACUGAGCUAUCCCUCCCCCCCCCGCAAUCACUGUAUGGUCACCAAGACCAGAAAUCUGCUGGCAAUUGGUAUUAAAGUUGCCAUGGGAAAUCCAGCUUCAACAGUCUCUGGGACAGCUUCAGACCCCAAAUGACACUUCAGUGAUCACAGCUGGAUUUUUCCUAGACCUUUAUUUCUUUGACAGUUACAGAGUCCAGCAACCUCAGUCUUCUCAAAAGGGUUCAAGGCAGAGGCUGAUAAAGAUACAACAGCAAAUAUUACAACUCUGCUGUCCUGCAGGAGAAAGCAUUCCAUGCUGCAGAGUGGUGUGGCCCAUUUGCAACUAGCUGCUUGUGGAGCAGAUAUCUGCAUUUGCUCUUCCCCCAGCUACCUUUCACCUUGAAUUUAUUAGAAAAGUUAAAACAAAUAAAUAGAUAAACAAAUAGCUCUUUAUGUCCAGAUGGAUUGUUUAAACUCAAGGACUUCAGUUUAGUCAAUUACAGUAGGGAAGAGGAAAAGCUCCUUAUUCCACUGCAUUUGCUAAAGGCUUGAGAACAGCUGAAAGCAAUGGAUUUCCGACAAAAAUAUUGGGAAGGGAUAGUCUUACAGUCAGUACUUCACUGUGGGAGUUUGCAGAAGAACAGCUCCAGAGAGAAUUUCAGAAAAGUACACGAUUUGAUUUAAUAGAAAGCUACAAAGUCUCAAUUAAAAUACCUCUGAUCCUUAAAUCUGAGGAACUGAUAAUUUCCCACCCCCGACUGUCUUCUGUGCCAAUAGUGGUUUUCAAUCAUCACUUUGCUUCAGGAAAGCUGUGUUUUCAGAUCAAAUUUGGGAAAGUUAAGAAAUACAGUUGUAUCUACAGUAAAUCAUAUGUAGAUUUACAGAUUAUAUAUCAAGAAAAAAUAAUUACCUCAAAAAUUAAAAACUUAAAAUGACAUGCUAAAUUUUCUUUAAGUCAUGUAAUUGUAGGAGUUUGGUUUCAAGUUAUUUAACAGGAUACUAACUGAGCCUUUCUACUCUAAGAGAUGGUCUGAACUGUGACAGAUAUCACAACCCCAUCCAGUAUCUUUAAGUGCCAUUGUAUUAAAUUUAUAAAUGAUUUAUGUAUGAUUGCAUUCUACUCCAUGGGGGAGGGUUACCAGAGCUCAUACAGGAAAUAAAAAACAGUGGGGGGGUGAUUAACGCCAGUCACUAAGACUAAACAAUUCUAGAGAGGUUUGCAUAUGCUGGUUGAAGCUGAGUUUUCCAAAGACAAGACAAAGAAGGGGCUUUUGGUAUAAAAGGAUGACCUGGAACUGAGCUACAGGACCUUCUCUCUGAUCCAGAAAAUGGACAGGACCUCCUGACCAAGGGCCCCAAUCCUUGAGGAAGGGCUGGAAAGACUUUGGCCUACUAGAGAUCCCAGAAGACUGAAGAGUAACCUCUGUUUGCUUUCGGCAUCUGACACAACUCAGAGAUGUAUAUAGAAUAUGAGCAUUGGGGUCUAUUCAUAACAAAGGACCUGUGCAAGCUCUCAAUUACCCUGUCUCUAAAGUGGUGGGAAAUUACAUUUGUCUCCCUCCUCAGAAAAGUUCUCAGCACAAAUAAAGAACACGUAUCAAGGAAGAUCAUAUAUAAAAAUAAAGAGCACAGUAUGCUCAACCCUGUUUCUCUGACAUUUUUUAAAUUUGAUUUUUGAGUCAUUUGGGUGCUCAUGAAAGGAGCUGAUACACUGACAACCUCAAGACUGAAGCCCUUUAAUUACAAAGUAAACAGUUACAACCCAAAGACUGUCUCAACCUUGACCUGGAGGGAUAUGUUAAUGCAUGGCUUCUUAACACCACUUAGUGUCACCAGUACUCCUUACCUUUCCA